rnacentral:tRNA from 1 species
GGUUAUGGCUCAGUGGUAGAGCACUUGCCUAUCAUGUGUGAGGCCCUGGGUUCCAUACUCAGCACCA